rnacentral:tRNA from 1 species
AGGGUAUAGCUCAGUGGUAGAGCUCAUGCUUAGCAUGCAUGAGGUCCUAGGUUCAAUCCCCAGUACCUCUA